UUCUGGUGCGUUUUCACGCUGCGUGCAUCUUCACUUUCACACUGCAUUUCUAAUUCUUCCUCGACAAGCUCCUCUAUUUUCAGCGCAGAGUUCAAAACCGUCAACGUCUGCAACGCCGCGACCCUUUCCAGUUCGCCAAAUCAUUGCUUCACUUCCGCGCACGACUUCACUUUCACGCUGCACUUCUUCUCCUUUGCUUCUAAUUCGCCAUUAUCGUCGAAUGCCACCAUCGUGCCUUCCAAAACGCAACAACAACAAGCACAAGAGCAUGCCUCUCCUCCUCUCUCUCCCCGGGUUCGAUUGUGUCGAAUCGCGAUGCUCAGUCCUUGCUUCCUCUAACAGUGAAGCAAAUAUACGAUGCGCUUCAAACAAACGAUGAUAAAGCCAAUUUGAUUGUUGACGGUGUGGACGUUAAUAAUGUACGUUCUCCUUGAAUCUCUGUUGGUUAAUUUGGUUAAAGUUUGGACGUUCUGACAAUUAGAGUCCAAGUUACUCUUAUAGGAAGGGUAUGCAACAAAGCCGAACGAGUUACUGAUGUUACGUUUGUGCUUGAUGAUGGUACUGGAAGAUUAAAUGUAAUAAAUGGUUUCAUGAAGCUACUGAUACAAAUGAAGCAGAGGCUAUCUUGCAUACAAGCAACAAAUAUAUCAGACUUGGCAUUUGAAGCAAGAUUUUGCAUGUGGUCAUGGCAAAACCUUUUGCUGGGAUUCAGUUUCCUACUAUUCCUGUCGACAACAAGGCACAUUGUGGUUUGUUAUGAAAAAGAAAUGAAGAACCUAAUUUGAUCAAAUGCAUUAUAGAAUUUGAAACAAAUACAUGAUCACAUCCUUCAAUUUUCCAAGAGAAGUGAACCUUCUAUAUGACUCAGCCUGUGAAACUACUCUGAUUAUACCAAAGGAGUAAUAUGCUUCCAAUUCGUGUCAAGCUACAAAUGAGGAGGAAGUCUUCAAAAUUCUAAAUGAAAGAUCCCUUUAUCCUAUAGGAUGGAUUCAUGUAUGUCUUCCUAUCUUUGGAAGGGUUUGUGACUGUCUUUAUCUCUAUAGGAGUAGGAUUUGGUGUGAUUGAUUACAACUUGUCAUCUAUAUUGAACUUGUCAUCUAUACUGAAAGACUAACCCGUGCAUUAGAAAUUUUGAAGAAGUCAAUUGUAGACUCUAGUGGACACUUUAUUUUCGUUAACGGCUCAGAUGUCUCUCCAUUUCAAUGGUCUAAUGAGCAUUCCUUUUUUGUUACUAUUAUUCUGUUACACAUUACUAUUUUUCUGGGGUAAAUAAGUUCCACAUUUAGUGUUAAUUUCUUUAUGAUUCUUUUGUACUAUUCAUGCACAUAAAAAGAUUAAACAAGAUAUAGUAGCAAUAAUUUGACUUUGAGAGGGUGGCCACUCACUGUGAGUAAUUCUGUUUAAUUUGUUUUUUUUAUGUGAAUUAAUAUUACCUAUCCUAGUGAAGGCCAUAUUAUGUCUUGUUUUUUUUUUGUGAAUUAAUAUUACCUAUCCUAGUGAAGGCCAUAUUAUGUCCUGUUGAAUGUGAUAUCAUAUUUUGAC